GCAGUAAGGAAUAUUGGUCAAUGGAGGCAACUCUGAACCAGCCAUGCCGCGUGCAGGAAGACAGCCCUAUGGGUCGUAAACUGCUUUUAUGUCGGAAUAAACCUAUUUACGUGUAAAUAGCUGAAUGUACGGCAAGAAUAAGGAUCGGCUAACUCCGUGCCAGCAGCCGCGGUAAUACGGAGGAUCCAAGCGUUAUCCGGAUUUAUUGGGUUUAAAGGGAGCGUAGGCGGCUUAUUAAGUCAGGGGUGAAAGACGGUGGCUCAACCAUCGCAGUGCCUUUGAUACUGAUGAGCUUGAAUAUAGUUGAGGUAGGCGGAAUGUGACAAGUAGCGGUGAAAUGCAUAGAUAUGUCACAGAACACCAAUUGCGAAGGCAGCUUACUAAGCUAUUAUUGACGCUGAGGCUCGAAAGCGUGGGGAUCAAACAGGAUUAGA
rnacentral:rRNA from 1 species